rnacentral:rRNA from 1 species
UACGAAGGGGGCUAGCGUUGCUCGGAAUCACUGGGCGUAAAGGGUGCGUAGGCGGGCCUUUAAGUCAGGGGUGAAAUCCUGGAGCUCAACUCCAGAACUGCCUUUGAUACUGAGGAUCUUGAGUUCGGGAGAGGUGAGUGGAACUGCGAGUGUAGAGGUGAAAUUCGUAGAUAUUCGCAAGAACACCAGUGGCGAAGGCGGCUCACUGGCCCGAUACUGACGCUGAGGCGCGAAAGCGUGGGGAGCAAACAGG